CACCGCGGUUAUACGAGAGGCCCAAGUUGAUAGACAUCGGCGUAAAGAGUGGUUAAGGAAAUACUAUUACUAAAGCCGAACGCCCUCAGAACUGUCAUACGUUCCCGAAGGUAAGAAGCCCCACCACGAAAGUGGCUUUAUCCCACCUGACCCCACGAAAGCUGCGAAA
rnacentral:rRNA from 1 species